rnacentral:rRNA from 1 species
GAACGAGAAAGUGGAGCAAUCCAUGAGUAAAGUGGCGACCGGGUGAGUAACACGUGACUAACCUACCUCCGAAUGGGGAAUAACUCCGGGAAACCGGGGCUAAUACCGCAUAACACCGCAAGGUCAAAGCAGCAAUGCGUUUGGAGAGGGGGUCGCGGCUGAUUAGCUAGUUGGCGGGGUAACGGCCCACCAAGGCGAAGAUCGGUAUCCGGCCUGAGAGGGCGCACGGACACACUGGAACUGAAACACGGUCCAGACUCCUACGGGAGGCAGCAGUGGGGAAUUUUGCGCAAUGGGGGAAACCCUGACGCAGCAACGCCGCGUGGAGGAUGAAGCCCUUUGGGGCGUAAACUCCUUUCGACCAAGACGAUAAUGACGGUACUGGUGGAAGAAGCACCGGCUAACUCUGUG